CACUCUGGUGAAAUAAUUUUUAUAUUAUGUACAUAAGCAUGCAAAUGCAUUUCGCAAGGAUUCCUGUAGGUACAGCGAAUUUCCCUGCCAUUUCUCACAGUUUUCCCGCAAAGACCAAGAAGAGCCAAAAAAACGAUCAGGAUGAUCAACUUCAUGUUGGGGCGAGGGCUGGUUAAGUGUCUCCAGCUGCUGAUUGAAAUU
rnacentral:sRNA from 1 species